rnacentral:tRNA from 1 species
CGAGGGAUUCCCGAGCGGCCAAAGGGGGCGGACUGUAAAUCCGUUUGCACUGCAUUCGAUGGUUCGAAUCCAUCUCCCUCGACCA